CUGAGUGCACCUGCUUCAUCAGGUUCUCUUCAGCUGAGAAAGAUGCGAUUCCUGCUUUGGACUCAGUGGCUCAAGAUUCCCAGGCGUCUUGUCCCUGCAGCUGUCACAAACCACUUUCCUCCAACUUGGAAUCUGGAAGAGAGCCUUAGACAUCACUUGGUGUACUUUUGGAUCUAGUGGGUGACUAUGCUGUGAUUUCCAUGGAAACCACCUCUUAUACCCUUCUGUGGUAUUAACCUUUCAUAAGGGACUUAGGAUAGAAAUUGCAAAGGAGUUGUUCUUGUUUGAGCCUCAAUGUGGAGAAGGAUGGUAUUUGGGGAGAAGUAGGAUAUGACUGACAAUUGGAGGACAGUGCUAUUUAACAAGAACUUCUCUGUCUCUGCACAAGUCACCAUUUGGAGGAAGCCAAUUUGGACUAUUUUAUGAGGAAUUUGAUCACCCAGCUAUCCAUUUCCCCAAAGCCUGCCAGAAAUUGUUUUAAAAAAUGUCACACCCAAGUCCCCUGAAGAAUCCACAUGGAAUUCAAGGAUGGUGAUCUGCUGUAACCAAAGAUUUCAGUAACAUCUGAAGUUUGGCAUACAUUUAUUUGGAAAAUGUAAAAAUUAUUUUAGAAGAUAUUGAUUCAAAUGAGCUACAGAGAUGCAAACAAAAACAGACAGAUGGUUAGAAUGACGUGGUUGCUCUAAAUAGAACUCUCUACUUUUCACUGAAGGACAAAAAUUACUCCCACAUACAAAAGAAAAAAGAAAAACACCUCAAAGAAGGAAUUAUGAUACUGUUUCAAUCUGCCCUGAUAACACCACAGAAACACUUCGACUUUUUAUGCUUUUUUUCAUCUGCAACUGGUUUUAAGCAACUUUUCAUCAAGACUAAAACAAUUGACACUGAACUGCCAGAUCAAGUAAAUAAAUCUGGGGUUACAUGACUUGGGGAGGGCUGCAGAAAUGUGAAUUAAAUCUUAAUCACAGUAAGAAAGUUUUUUACGGCUCCCAAAGCCAGAAUGCUAUUCUUUGAGAAUCUUUGCAUCCUGUGAUUUAACCUGCCAAGGGCACUUAAAGAACUUAAGAACUCAAAAAGUGUCCAGGGUAAGACUCAGCAAGGUGCACCAAGUCUGGCUGCCACAACUGUGCUAAGAAGAUUUGGCUUUUCCCAGGGAUAUAGUAGGAACCUGAGCAAAGGAAACGAAAUGAUAAAUAAACUGAAAGUUUUUAAACUUACAUUCUCAAGUUUAUGCUCUUUUGUCUGCUCAACAGAGUAGCAAAGUACUAAAAGGGUUUUCAGAAAACUCUUGUACAUGAAUAUUUCCCCCAAACUUGUCUGUAUUUUUUUUUUUUCAGAAUCAUAGUUUUUCUUUUCCUUGCAAUUGUAUUUUGAUAGAAUGCAGAUCUCUUCCAUGGUUCUCAACUUAAAUUCUUCCUUUUAUUUCCCAGCUAUGAGAGAAAAUUCCAAAAAUUCCAAGCUGUACUUUGUAAUUCCUUGAACAUAGUGGAUCCAUUAUGUACAUUAUAGAGAGGGUGUGGAGAAAGUGGAAUUCUCAUGCAAAUUAGUACAACUUUGGAAAAUUGUCUCACAAUAUCUGCUACAGCUGAACAUAGCACCACCAGUGACCCAGGCAGAUCAUAUGUCCACAAGCUACAGAAAUGUGUUCAGAUGCACUAAAAGACAUGUACAGUUCAUCCAUCCUAGUAUUGUUCAUAAUCACCUCAAACUGGAAGCAACCCAAGUGCAUCGUGAAAUUGUGGUUCUUCAAUCAAUUGAAUCCAUGCACAGAAGAAUUAACACAAGAAUGCCAUAUGCCACUCUCUGAGCACAUCUUGCCAACAUAAUGUUGAGUGAAAGAAGCCAGUUUCCCCCAACGGACUUACUGUAUGUUUUCAUUUACAUAAAGUUAAAAAGUAAGUAGAAUUAAUUGGUGUGAUGUGGAGUUAGGACAGUAGUUAUUCCAGCAGGGAGGUGGGUGGUGGAGUGUCUGACCUCUGGCUGCCUAUGGUGACUUUUAUUACUAGAUACGGAGGAUGGUCACAUAGGUAUGCCCUCCUUGUAAGAGUUCAUCUAGCUGUCCACCACUGGUGAGUUGUUUACUUUUCUGAAUGUGUCAAUUCCAAUAAAAAAAGAUUAUUUGAAAAUGGA